UACGUAGGGUGCGAGCGUUGUCCGGAAUUAUUGGGCGUAAAGAGCUCGUAGGCGGUCUGUCGCGUCGGUCGUGAAAACUUGGGGCUUAACCCUGAGCUUGCGGUCGAUACGGGCAUGACUGGAGUUCGGCAGGGGAGACUGGAAUUCCUGGUGUAGCGGUGAAAUGCGCAGAUAUCAGGAGGAACACCGGUGGCGAAGGCGGGUCUCUGGACAGUUCCUGACGCUGAGGCACGAAGGUCAGGGGAGCAAACGGG
rnacentral:rRNA from 1 species